rnacentral:rRNA from 1 species
UGGCGAGUGGCGAACGGGUGAGUAACAUAUCGGAACGUACCGAGCAGUGGGGGAUAACCAAUCGAAAGAUUAGCUAAUACCGCAUAUAUUCUCGAGGAAGAAAGCAGGGGACCAUUUGGCCUUGCGCUGUUUGAGCGGCCGAUAUCUGAUUAGCUAGUUGGUGGGGUAAAGGCCUACCAAGGCGACGAUCAGUAGCGGGUCUGAGAGGAUGAUCCGCCACACUGGGACUGAGACACGGCCCAGACUCCUACGGGAGGCAGCAGUGGGGAAUUUUGGACAAUGGGCGCAAGCCUGAUCCAGCCAUGCCGCGUGUCUGAAGAAGGCCUUCGGGUUGUAAAGGACUUUUGUCAGGGAAGAAAAGGGCGGGGUUAAUACCCCUGUUCUGAUGACGGUACCUGAAGAAUAAGCACCGGCUAACUACGUGCCAGCAGCCGCGGUAAUACGUAGGGUGCGAGCGUUAAUCGGAAUUACUGGGCGUAAAGCGGGCGCAGACGGUUACUUAAGCAGGAUGUGAAUCCCCGGGCUCAACCUGGGAACUGCGUUCUGAACUGGGUGACUAGAGUGUGUCAGAGGGAGGUAGAAUUCCACGUGUAGCAGUGAAAUGCGUAGAGAUGUGGAGGAAUACCGAUGGCGAAGGCAGCCUCCUGGGAUAACACUGACGUUCAUGCCCGAAAGCGUGGGUAGCAAACAGGAUUAGAUACCCUGGUAGUCCACGCCCUAAACGAUGUCGAUUAGCUGUUGGGCAGCAUGACUGCUUAGUAGCGAAGCUAACGCGUGAAUCGACCGCCUG